rnacentral:rRNA from 1 species
GAUGAACGCUGGCGGCGUGCCUAAUACAUGCAAGUCGAGCGAACGGACGAGAAGCUUGCUUCUCUGAUGUUAGCGGCGGACGGGUGAGUAACACGCGGAUAACCUACCUAUAAGACUGGGAUAACUUCGGGAAACCGGAGCUAAUACCGGAUGAUAUUUUGAACCGCAUGGUUCAAAAGUGAAAGACGGUCUUGCUGUCACUUAUAGAUGGAUCCGCGCUGCAUUAGCUAGUUGGUAAGGUAACGGCUUACCAAGGCAACGAUGCAUAGCCGACCUGAGAGGGUGAUCGGCCACACUGGAACUGAGACACGGUCCAGACUCCUACGGGAGGCAGCAGUAGGGAAUCUUCCGCAAUGGGCGAAAGCCUGACGGAGCAACGCCGCGUGAGUGAUGAAGGUCUUCGGAUCGUAAAACUCUGUUAUUAGGGAAGAACAUAUGUGUAAGUAACUGUGCACAUCUUGACGGUACCUAAUCAGAAAGCCACGGCUAACUACGUGCCAGCAGCCGCGGUAAUACGUAGGUGGCAAGCGUUAUCCGGAAUUAUUGGGCGUAAAGCGCGCGUGGCGGUUUUUUAAGUCUGAUGUGAAAGCCCACGGCUCAACCGUGGAGGGUCAUUGGAAACUGGAAAACUUGAGUGCAGAAGAGGAAAGUGGAAUUCCAUGUGUAGCGGUGAAAUGCGCAGAGAUAUGGAGGAACACCAGUGGCGAAGGCGACUUUCUGGUCUGUAACUGACGCUGAUGUGCGAAAGCGUGGGGAUCAAACAGGAUUAGAUACCCUGGUAGUCCACGCCGUAAACGAUGAGUGCUAAGUGUUAGGGGGUUUCCGCCCCUUAGUGCUGCAGCUAACGCAUUAAGCACUCCGCCUGGGGAGUACGACCGCAAGGUUGAAACUCAAAGGAAUUGACGGGGACCCGCACAAGCGGUGGAGCAUGUGGUUUAAUUCGAAGCAACGCGAAGAACCUUACCAAAUCUUGACAUCCUUUGACAACUCUAGAGAUAGAGCUUUCCCCUUCGGGGGACAAAGUGACAGGUGGUGCAUGGUUGUCGUCAGCUCGUGUCGUGAGAUGUUGGGUUAAGUCCCGCAACGAGCGCAACCCUUAAGCUUAGUUGCCAUCAUUAAGUUGGGCACUCUAAGUUGACUGCCGGUGACAAACCGGAGGAAGGUGGGGAUGACGUCAAAUCAUCAUGCCCCUUAUGAUUUGGGCUACACACGUGCUACAAUGGACAAUACAAAGGGCAGCGAAACCGUGAGGUCAAGCAAAUCCCAUAAAGUUGUUCUCAGUUCGGAUUGUAGUCUGCAACUCGACUACAUGAAGCUGGAAUCGCUAGUAAUCGUAGAUCAGCAUGCUACGGUGAAUACGUUCCCGGGUCU